UUAUAAUUAUAUAGACGCGCGCACAAUUUGAAAUGGGUAUAUAAACCCGUCAAAUUGGACACAAAAAUAAUCAUUUUCAAAACGAAACUCUCGCAGUAUACUGUAUCAUCAAAUAAUUCAGCAAUCAUGAAGAUUUUCCACUACUUAGUAUUUUUCGUCGUAAUGUUGACUAUUGGUUUCAAUGCAGGAGUGAAUGCUAAUCCAGAAGUUGAAAAACUUCCUUAUCAAGGAGGAGGUUGUGAAGGUCCAGGGUGUUUCUAAUGAAAAAAAUCUAAGUUACUAAAAUUAACUUAUAUUAAAAAAUAUCAUUGUGAAAAGAAUAAUCUGAUGCAAUAAAUACAUGAAUUAUUAAACAAAC